UUUGCAAAUCUCCUUCACUCCAGCCCUGUCCUGGAAUGAGCAAGAUUUACCAAAUAGGGACAGCGUGAAAGGGAAUUUAGAGGGUAGAGGUAGAGGGAAAAGGAAUAGUAUGUGUAGCUUGCUGAAUGAGAUGUCUGCUCUUGCUGUUUCCAUUUCUUCACUUCUCAAACAAUUUUUAACCCAAUCUAAACUGGCAUCAGCUCCCAUUGUAUUGAAAGGGCUUUCACUCAGGACACUAACGCCCCCCCGCCACCUCCCAUAUUACUAAAUCCAGUGGAUACAUCAGCCUUGAUCUUACUUGGCAUCAGGGUAGCAUGUGAUGCUUUUGGUCACAUCCUCUUUGAUAGAUUCACUCUUCCUUUGCACUAUUAUUUUUUCUCUAUCUUAGUCAUGGGUCUUCAGCAUCCUGUGCAAGCUCCUCUUUACUCCUAAAGUACUGGUGUUCCUCAGAACCCUGUUCUAUAUCAGCCUCUUUUCUCUCUAAACAUUUUCUGUGAGAAAUAUCAUCCCUUUCCAUGGCAUUAUUGAGAUCCAUCUGCCAAUUAUUUCCAAAUCUCUAUCUUCCCUGACCUCUUUUGACUGCUUUCUAGAACUUCUUCAAUUAGAAAUUCCUGAAAGCCUGUUAACCAACUCCCUCCCUCAAACCUAUUCCUCCAAUAAUGCUCCUCAUCCAAACAUAUGCCACACCAUCUACCCAGUUUUUCUAGGCAGAAAUGUAGGAUUCAUCCUUAAUGCCUCUUUUGCUCACCUU
rnacentral:lncRNA from 10 species